AGAGUUUGAUCCUGGCUCAGAUUGAACGCUGGCGGCGUGCUUAACACAUGCAAGUCGAACGCGAAAGGGGGCUUCGGCUCCCGAGUAGAGUGGCGCACGGGUGAGUAACGCGUGGAUAAUCUGCCCUCUUGUUCGGGAUAACUGCUGGAAACGGCAGCUAAUACCGGAUAAGCUCCCCCAAUUGUUUGGUGGAGGAAAGGAGGCCUCUUCAUGAAAGCUUCCGCGAGGGGAUGAGUCCGCGUCCCAUUAGCUAGUUGGUGAGGUAACGGCCCACCAAGGCAACGAUGGGUAGCCGGUCUAAGAGGAUAACCGGCCACACUGGAACUGAAACACGGUCCAGACUCCUACGGGAGGCAGCAGUGGGGAAUAUUGCGCAAUGGACGAAAGUCUGACGCAGCGACGCCGCGUGAGGGAUGAAGGUUUUCGGAUCGUAAACCUCUGUCAGGAGGGAAGAAAGCGCAUGGCGCCAAUCAGCCAUGCGUUGACGGUACCUCCAAAGGAAGCGCCGGCUAACUCCGUGCCAGCAGCCGCGGUAAUACGGAGGGCGCGAGCGUUAAUCGGAAUUACUGGGCGUAAAGCGCGCGUAGGCUGUUGUGUAGGUUGGGGGUGAAAUCCCACGGCUCAACCGUGGAACAGCCCUUGAUACUGCGCGACUUGAAUCCGGGAGAGGGUGGCGGAAUUCCAGGUGUAGGAGUGAAAUCCGUAGAUAUCUGGAGGAACAUCAGUGGCGAAGGCGGCCACCUGGACCGGUAUUGACGCUGAGGCGCGAAAGCGUGGGGAGCAAACAGGAUUAGAUACCCUGGUAGUCCACGCUGUAAACGAUGGAU
rnacentral:rRNA from 1 species